rnacentral:misc_RNA from 1 species
GAUGAAGAACGCAGCGAAAUGCGAUAAGUAGUGUGAAUUGCAGAAUUCCGUGAAUCAUCGAAUCUUUGAACGCACAUUGCGCCUCCUGGUACUCCGGGAGGCAUGCCUGUCCGAGCGUCGUUUCAACCCUCGAGCCCCCGUGGCCCGGCGUUGGGGAUCUGCCACGGCAGGCCCCUAAAACCAGUGGCGGACCCGAAGGCCCUCUCCUUUGCGCAGUAGCAUCAGCCUCGCAUUGGGAUCCCUCGGCGUCCUGCCUCUAAACCCCCCACAAGUCCGCUCCGGCGGCACCAAGGUUGACCUCGGAUCAGGUAGGAAUACCCGCUGAACUUAAGCAUACAAUAAGCGGAGGA